rnacentral:rRNA from 1 species
GACGAACGCUGGCGGCGUGCUUAACACAUGCAAGUCGAACGGAAAGGCCUCUUUCGGGGGGUACUCGAGUGGCGAACGGGUGAGUAACACGUGAGUAACCUGCCCUUGACUUUGGGAUAACUUCAGGAAACUGGGGCUAAUACCGGAUAGGAGCUCCUGCUGCAUGGUGGGGGUUGGAAAGUUUCGGCGGUUGGGGAUGGACUCGCGGCUUAUCAGCUUGUUGGUGGGGUAGUGGCUUACCAAGGCUUUGACGGGUAGCCGGCCUGAGAGGGUGACCGGCCACAUUGGGACUGGGAUACGGCCCAGACUCCUACGGGAGGCAGCGGUGGGGAAUAUUGCACAAUGGGUGGAAGCCUGAUGCAGCAACGCCGUGUGCGGGAUGACGGCCUUCGGGUUGUAAACCGCUUUCGCUCAUGACGAAGCUUUGUGUGACGGUAGUGGGUAAAGAAGCACCGGCUAACUACGUG